rnacentral:rRNA from 1 species
CGUAACUGGUCUGAGAGGAUGAUCAGUCACACUGGAACUUGAGACACGGUCCAGACUCCUACGGGAGGCAGCAGUGGGGAAUAUUGGACAAUGGGCGAAAGCCUGAUCCAGCCAUGCCGCGUGUGUGAAGAAGGUCUUCGGAUUGUAAAGCACUUUAAGUUGGGAGGAAGGGCAGUUACCUAAUACGUAAUUGUUUUGACGUUACCGACAGAAUAAGCACCGGCUAACUCUGUGCCAGCAGCCGCGGUAAUACAGAGGGUGCAAGCGUUAAUCGGAAUUACUGGGCGUAAAGCGCGCGUAGGUGGUUUGUUAAGUUGAAUGUGAAAUCCCCGGGCUCAACCUGGGAACUGCAUCCAAAACUGGCAAGCUAGAGUAUGGUAGAGGGUGGUGGAAUUUCCUGUGUAGCGGUGAAAUGCGUAGAUAUAGGAAGGAACACCAGUGGCGAAGGCGACCACCUGGACUGAUACU